UACGGGGGGGGUAAGCGUUGUUCGGAAUUACUGGGCGUAAAGGGCUCGUAGGCGGCCAGCUAAGUCGGACGUGAAAUCCCUCGGCUUAACCGGGGAACUGCGUCCGAUACUGGAUGGCUUGAGUUUGGGAGAGGGAUGCGGAAUUCCAGGUGUAGCGGUGAAAUGCGUAGAUAUCUGGAGGAACACCGGUGGCGAAGGCGGCAUCCUGGACCAACACUGACGCUGAUGAGCGAAAGCCAGGGGAGCAAACGGG
rnacentral:rRNA from 1 species